AUGUGUCCUUCAAUCCUCAUGUUAACUUGUUCAUAAAGCCAAAUCUGAAUUCUUGAUCUCUGAAGAUAACAAACAGACUAAUAAAUAAACACAUAGGAAUUUGCAUAAAAUAGAACAUACAGGCCUGAGCACAGUCCAGUUUCAAAGAGGUUACACUACUUCAUGAAAUAAUACAGUUUAUUUCCUCAUGCAUGAUUAUAUGUGGUAGAUUAUUAUCACAUGGAAAUGAUGUAGCUUAGAAUUUUUGAUAUAAUGUUACAGAAAUUUAAGCUUUGUCUUGUUAUUAAUAAUUAU